AUUGAACUUCAGUUACAAAUCAAACAUUAGUUCUCAUAAUUUUGUGUGUCAUCUCAACCUAAUAUAUCACUCCCUUUGCAAUAAGACACUUGUAGUUGUGCCUUAAACUCGAGCCAAGGCCUCUCUAAUCUCCAAAGAUCAGCUAUCUGACAAUUCUCCCCUAACUUCACCCAAGAAAUAAGCCUGGAUAACUCUUUUUUCUUCACUUUGGGACUCAAUCCUUUUACACCAAUCCAUGCAUCACGAAAUGCUGGGAAGCACUUCUGCUUUGCAAAUUCAUGGCACUUCCCAUUUGCUGCUUCAAGGCAAGCCUCCAUUUCACGUUCUUCGCAUCUCGCCCUCUCUGCAAAGUCUUGAUUGGAAGCACUGCCAGUGAAUGAUUUCCACCAAGGAGUUUUACAUUUGUCUGAGGCUGCGAUAGAGCAACCAAUCCUAGCUCCAGAUUCACAUUGUUGAGUGACUUGAGAUUCACAAGCCUUGUAUGCAGAGGCCCAGGAGAUAGGGUCUUUAAAUGCGAGGAUGAAUUGCCCAACUGUUUCUUCUUGUGGGCCAGCCUUGAUGGGACCUCGAAGAAGAGGGACUGGUCGGUCAAAAGGAAUCAGAGUCUUUGAUGCAGAGUACUCCUCGAGGUCGAUUGAUGGCACUUCUGG
rnacentral:misc_RNA from 1 species